rnacentral:rRNA from 1 species
GCAUAACGCGAAGAACCUUACCCACCUUUGACAUGUACGGAAUCCUUUAGAGAUAGAGGAGUGCUCGAAAGAGAGCCGUAACACAGGUGCUGCAUGGCUGUCGUCAGCUCGUGUCGUGAGAUGUUGGGUUAAGUCCCGCAACGAGCGCAACCCUUGCCAUUAGUUGCUACGAAAGGGCACUCUAAUGGGACUGCCGGUGACAAACCGGAGGAAGGUGGGGAUGACGUCAAGUCCUCAUGGCCCUUAUAGGUGGGGCUACACACGUCAUACAAUGGCUGGUACAAAGGGUUGCCAACCCGCGAGGGGGAGCUAAUCCCAUAAAGCCAGUCGUAGUCCGGAUCGCAGUCUGCAACUCGACUGCGUGAAGUCGGAAUCGCUAGUAAUCGUGGAUCAGAAUGUCACGGUGAAUACGUUCCCGGGUCUUGUACACACCGGGUCUUGUACACACCGGGUCUUGUACACACCG